UACGUAGGGGGCAAGCGUUGUCCGGAAUUAUUGGGCGUAAAGAGCUCGUAGGCGGUGUGUCACGUCGGCCGUGAAAACCUGCAGCUUAACUGUGGGCGUGCGGUCGAUACGGGCAUCACUGGAGUUCGGCAGGGGAGACUGGAAUUCCUGGUGUAGCGGUGAAAUGCGCAGAUAUCAGGAGGAACACCGGUGGCGAAGGCGGGUCUCUGGGCCGAUACUGACGCUGAGAAGCGAAAGCGUGGGGAGCGAACAGG
rnacentral:rRNA from 1 species